GUCCCACAAAUGAUUUGUUAGGCAUGCAGAUUUGUAUUGUUUCUGAUACUACAAGGACAACAAAUACAGCUCUUUUUUUCCAAACUGCUACACCCAGGAAGCUGGAAGAAGAGUAGAUAUUACAUAUUGAGUUUCUGAGAUAAAUGAUGAUUCCAUUUAUUGAGAAAGUGGCAUUCAGGAGACGCAGCGUUAUGAGCCCCCACAAGUGAUUUCUGGGAUUACCUGUCGACAAACUACUUUCUCUCUAACCUCAGGAUCAUCCUGUAAAAUUUGAAUGGACCU